GGCAGCGAUUGUGUCUGGCUGAGCUCGUGCGCUCAUGGGCCGAGGUUGGGUGACUGGUUUGGAGGCUGUGCGCCUGCGUACUGCGGGACUUCGCAGACCAGCAGGCCUAUCGGGAACUACAGGGAAUAAGGUGGGUUUCCCAUGUCAUCGGGGGACUCGUUGUACCUCGAAAAUUGUGCUUCAGUAUAGCCACUUCCUGAUCUAUUCAUUUCUGCAGAUACAGACAUGAAAUAUCGCGUCCUCCACAUAAGGAAACGGCAUGACCGCAGGGGUAUUCAGGAGUUGCCUUGUACCACACUGCUCUAGUAACCGGUUCCUACAAUGUCAAAAUGUCCGCGUCAAAUCUACGCUCUAAGAAGAAAAACGGCUAUCCACAAGAGGAAAGGCAAGGGUCCCCUAUGGACAAUGAAUGCUGGCCCCGAACCCUGGCUGAUCGAUGGAAACCGAAACGCAAUUGGCUAAGGUCGAUCGUUUUACUUCCUGCUAGCAGAGAGAUGAUAAGGGGCCUUCCUCACGCUUCUACUGAUCAGCUAAUCGAUGUGUACGUUCUGUCGUGCGGGAAGGCUAACAGCCAUUGGGGGAAUCCUCAUUAAGCAUCGCGGAUCCUCACCGCGCUUCACGACUCGUCACAUCGCAUCACUCUGCACUAAGCAGAAGACAGGAGAACGCAUGAUUUUUGUCAUUUUGGCAAGCGAUAGUUUGUAGGGCCCACCAACGUCGACAGCCGUAUCGGUCCCUUCGUAACAGCUGUGAACAGAGAGAGAGAGAAGAAGAGGGGAGAGAACAGAAGAAGGAAGAAGUUACAAUGGCACCGAAACGAAUGCGAGCGCCCGAAGAUUAAGAUCGGAAGAUGGCCGUCUACGUGUAUUCACACAAGCAAAGUGCCGCAGAGAACUUCAACGGAAGAUGCGAGAAAAGUCGCAGCUUUUGGCUCUGACGUAUGCGCUAGAGCUCAACACCAUGUCUUUUCGUGCGCUGCUAACCCUGGGGAAUAUUUUGCGGCGCAGUCACAAGAUAUUCCGUAGCAGACGACAGGAAAAGACGCAGACGGAGUCGUUUGCUAAAUGUGCAGUACCAACGCCACCUAGAUACAGAAAGCCUGCUUAAUGCCUCCUUUCACUCCUUCGCAGUCGCCAAUCUUCCGCCAAUCGCAGCCAGCCAGCCAAGAUGUCAGUCAGUCGCAAACUCUGUGGCAUGGAGGAAGGAAACACAAGGAGCGGCUCUUCCCUCCAGACUAGCGUAGCCACCCCCUAGCGGUCGCUCGAGUCAAAAUCGCCAUUGCUUCCUGUCCACCACGUGAUCCCCUCUAGAGUUUCGGUAUUGUAAGGCUUUGUUUCUCGCGCUGCUCUCUGUAUGAUUUUGCCUUUUGAAAGUAAUUUAUUGUGAAAAUGUGAGCACCGUCGUAGAAACGACGUAUGGUAAUGUGUUCCUGUCCCGGCUGCGGCUAUCGUUGAACUGAAAGCAGGUCUGUCACGGGAACGCGUUUUGUUCGUAAGUACACGGUAACUUGCUUUAGUCACCCGUGUGUCUUCGAACCAUCUUGAAUUGUUCAUUUCGGACCUCAAACUCUGCUGCAGAUUCGUUUCAUAUCUUCUGUUGUUGUACAAAUCUGAUUAAUGGGACGGCAUUCUUUACCACUUAGUUAAGAAAAGUACAUACGUUGGAAGUAACCGUUGCCACACGUGAUGUUUCCUGUCCCACGUACUUCUUUUGCGUUCUGCACACUGUGACUGGUCUUCUAAUAGAACGGUAAACAUUCGAACACAGAGAAAUGAAGUGCAAGCACGCGUUCAACGUAAUACUGCCAUCUGAACUGCGACACAACUACAGCUCGCGUCGUCUGCUUUGCUGGAGCCGUGCUGUCUGGAGGGUCACGUGAGCGGUCACGUGGUAGACAGGAGCAUCCCAGAAUGCAAUGCGAGGCCGGCUACGCUCGUCCCGAUAGAAAACUGUCGGAGGGGCCGCUCCUUGUGUUUCCUUCCUCCAUGGUCUGUGGCUUCCAGUGGCUGCCCAUGCGGCUGAUGGCGGUUCGGCACCAGAGCUAUGGCCUGUGAAAGCACGGUAGUGAUUGGCUGACUGUUAAUUGUUACGUCAUGGCCCUCAAGCAAUUAGGCUUUGUCUCUAGGUGGCGUCGGCAGUACGCCACUCCCUUAGCACACGACACCGGCUGCAUCUUCUCUUAUCGUCUGCUAAGUACUCAGUAUACCACUCCCGAUAUAUCGGCUCCGGAAUGCUCAACAUAAUGUACCCUCAUGAGCAGUUUUUUUUUCUUUUCAUUCACUACAUUUCAUGGGGAUGUCCGCGUUUGGCAGAAUGCUAACGGACGCAGACAUAUUUUUUCUUUUUUUGUUACUGAUCCGCAAAACACAUUGUAUCAAGAAGGGUAACGACGUAGACAUCUCAAUACCUCACAGGCCGUCGUAUCACCCAACCGCUGGUCAAGCGACUGUGAGCUGAUUAAAUGUUAACGGAGGCUGGUACAUCCGGGAAACAAUGGCAGAGGCGUUGUUAACGGUUGUGGAUCGAAACGGUGCAUCAACCUCUGUAUUAGAACGCGGAGCAAAUUGAGAAAGUGUGGUAUAUUGUGCACUUACGCUGUCACUCAUUAGGUGACUUCACAAUGCCCCAAAUGCCGGGACGCCGUGAUAAUGGCACAAACAACGAACGAAAAGGAAAGGAAACCGGAGCGCGACGACUUCAAGAAACACAAAAGAAGAAGAAGAAAGACGCGUCUGACAUUAACAUUGAGAAAUAAAAUAAAGGGAGAGAAUGAAAAAAAAAAAAGAAAAAAACGAGACAAAUAAAAACGAGGCGAAGCUGGACAACCCGAGCUCGGACUGGCACUCAAAUAGGCGUCUUCAGGGAACGAGGAAGCGAGACGGAAAAAGCACAAAAAAACAAACGCAUUACGAUAAAGAAGAAAGGAGAGCCUUCGGUGACGGACAGCGAGUGGGAGGGGGGAGGAAGGGGCCGCAAUCAAUACGUGCCUGCCGCAAAUCGAUGGCAGAGCAUCCACCACGGCGCAAGAAAACAGAAAAGAGAUGAAACUUUGAGGGAACUAAAAAAAGGCCAAAAUGACAUCCACGUCAACAGACUCCAGCGAGAAGAACCCGGUGGACUCCACUGAUGCAAUAGCAGCGAAUGCCCCUACUGAGUUGUUCGCAGGCACGACCCGAAUUAAAGGGAAAUAAUAAAAAAAGAAGGACAGCAAAUAUAAAUAGGAAGGGGAACAUGUUUCAACUUCCAUUCGUUGGAGGAAGAGGCGCUGUUACGUAACCCACAGGGCAUCGUUGAUUACCAGGUGUUCGAAUCACACCGGACGGCGGAAAGCAUGGAACCAGCGUCGAAAUUAAUUCCGGUCGGCGAUAUCAGUUUCUUAUUUGUACUUGCGACGCAAAGCAGUAAAAGGUGUUUUCUACAAUCUGCAGUAUUCUAAAAUUCGCGACUUUUCAAAGAAACGGGAGAAAGCAGGAGAGCAUCAUUAAGAUUAGUUGCGUAAUACCUAUCAGCUUUAAAUUGCGCGGAAACUCGAUCCUCAGGGCAUGACCGGUUGUCUUCGUCCACCGCAGUCGUCUCACUGUAAAGCGUGCUACGCCGCAGUAUCUCUCUUUAUGCGGCAGAGCCACCUUCAUGCGCUGAGCUUGUCACUCUCGGUGUGGCAGUUCAAAAAAACCGCGCUCAGGAACUAGAUUGAAACGGUAAAGGGAACCCAAGGUAAAGGGAUCUCAAGGGACACGAGGAGGAACUGGGAUAGAAAAUUUUAAGUAUAUUUAGCGCCCCGUACCACGGAAUAAACUUCUUUGGUUGGCAGUUCA